rnacentral:lncRNA from 1 species
CCGGCUAAGCACCCUCCCGGUAGGGCUAGAGCGACAGCAAAGAAAUGGUCUUCUUAGGUUUGGCAAUUUUACUACCUCCUGUCGAAGAUCCGUCCAUCUACUUAUUGCCUCCGACCGCCUUCUUGUCGCCCCCUUUUUCUCUCCCCUCUUAGUGAACCCACUUUAUACGAUAUUUAUGACACAGAAUGUUGUUCUUUCAACAUGAUUCCUCAACAAUUUUGUCAUUCUAACUGACUCUCCGUUCUCUCCAUUCCAAUGCAUCCUUACGAAUACAAGAGUGGUUUUUUUGUUUUGGGUAUAGCAGGACUUGAACCUGCAACCAUUAGGUUAAAAGCCCAAUGCUCUACCAACUGAUCUAUACACCCGAUUUUACAAGAAGGCUGGGUGCGAAAAAGAAAAGAGGGCGGUCUGGCACCUUUUCUUCUUAUCAUAUCACAAGGGCGCGGCUCUGUAUGGUAUAGUACUGUGGAGCAAGUUUGGGAGUCCUUUCCACUCAUUGAGGAUUCUAUCUAAAAAAGAAGGUCAAUGGGGGAGACUACUUUGAAGUCCGGGCUGAACAAACUACUUCUCCUGCUACCAAAAUAGAGAAAUAAGGAAAUAAGAUGGAUUCGUCUAAUAAAAUACCCAAUGCCUGUAGUUGAAGAAUUGUUGGAUGAGUUAUCUUGUGCUGUUUGGUUUACUAAGCUGGAUCUGUGGGCUGGUUACCAUCAGAUAAGAUUACAUGAAGUAGACGAAUACAAAACGACAUUCAACACCCACGUCACUAUGAAUUUUAGGCCAUUUGGGCUCACAAAUGCACCACCCACCCUCCAGAGUGCUAUGAACACAAUUCUGGCUGAGCUGACUAGGGUUUGUGUACUUGUUUUUGUUGAUGACAUCUUAAUCUACAGCAAAUCCUUGCAAGAUCAUGUCACCCAUUUGCAGCAAGUAUUUGACCUUUUGAAGCAGAAUCAACUAUAUAUGAAGUUGAAUAAAUGUUCAUUUGCUCAACCACAGAUAGAAUACCUGGGUCAUGUCAUUAGUGGGAAAGGGGUGGCUACAGACUAAAAGAAGAUCCUCACAGUGAAAGAGUGGCCUACUUCCAAGUCAAGCACAUUAGAGUUUGGGCUUAGCAGGACAGGCGUUUCAUUCACAGGAGCUUAGCUCAUUUGACUGCUCAAAGACUUAAAACACCAAUGCAACACAAAGCUUUCCUUUCCUCAAGCUCAUGGGAUUACAAUAGAAUUACCAUCUAAAAUCUUCCACUGGAAGUUCUCUUUAAUAGAAUGACUGGCUUUACAUAUCUCCUUAUUAAUAGGAAAUGAAUCGGCAGCAACAUAGAACCCAUCCCAAGAACCCUCAAACCUCCCUGGAGAACACGGCUCCACAACGUAUUUGGUAGCGGAUCCAGUUUUCCUUAUUUGUUAACAUAUACCUUUCCUCUGCCUAUGAGCUAUCUAAAGGUCCAUCGUUAUCCUUUCCGGCAAUGGAGGCAGAAUCAAUGGUCAUGUCAGGUUUCAGAUUCAAAGAGAGAUGUCAAGCAAGCGCCGAAUCUGAGUACUCAACUUGCCCGACCCGCCUCUUCCACUAGACCUUGUCUUUCAAAGAGCAGCAGCCCUGCAAGCCUAAUAGAACCUUGUUUACCUAUUACUUACUUUUGCUUUGAGCGUCGCACUCCAGUGGCUUUCUUUCCUAUGGCUUGGAUGGGGGUCCUCAACAAGAUCUAUAUUAGUGUCAUUAUUUACUUAUUUAGACGAUAGAUGAUGAUAGAGAGCAGACUGGCUCUGAGGAAGAAUAUCUUAAGUAGUUGAAUCCGCUCCGCUAGGUUAAAUUGUAUGAUCUGAAUGUAGGAGGACUGCUGCUGGUGACACAAUUUCUUUUGGGUUUGAAGAAUGAACUCAGAGCUACAGUGGAAGUGCAGAUGCCUAACUCAAUUAGUGAAGCUGCAUCUUUUGCUCAAUCAAGUGCGGGAAGGAGUUUUGGAGAGAGGCAGGCACUACAUGAACAAGAAGGACAGUAACUAGAAUCAGAAGUCGGCUGCCCCGCAGCAGCAAGGCUAUGUCUCAGUCAAAGUUCGACAGGGGGCAAAACAGUUGCUGUCCUAAUAGAAGUUCAUGUCGAUCCAGCCAAGCCAGUGCCAUCAUUAGAAAGUCCGGCCAUUUUAGUUUCAGCCAGUUCAAGUUAGGGCAAGGAGGAAAGGAAGAGAGUAAUGCAAGGAUGUAAAGAAUGAGGUGCUAGAACAGACUGGCCCGCAGGCUUCCAACCUGACACCGCUUUGCUACUUUUCGAAAGAGGAAGAGAAGUUGCUUGUACGAGACUGCGCCUCCCGGCUGGAAACUCCAAUGGAAUUUUCGGUAAAUGAAAGCAAAGCGAAGCUUUACGACCAAGGAGAGAUAAGCAUAUUUUAUGAACGAUAGAAGGAGUGCUCCCCGAGCACAGGCUCGCUUGGAAGGAUAGAGCGCCGCAAGACAAGAUGGCAUAUUGAAGGGAAGGCUAUGAAAAUAAUUCUAGUCUCUCGAACGCCUGGCAUACUAAUACGAGCCGCAUACUUGAAUACUAGUGACAUAUUGGAGGAAAGGAGAUUAUUGGAAUACUAGAGGGAGUUACGCCCAUAAGAACUGCUGGCUGUAAACGCGACUUGCUCUGCUCCUCCUAAAACCAUUUUCGAUAGUAAGAUAGAUAUAGAUCUAGAGGGCCUAGAAGGGCAAGCAUGGACCGAAUAAUACACAUACUCUGUCUAGAUAGACGAUUUCUUCUUUCAUUUCCACUCAAAUAAAAGCACUUUCUUUCAAGCUUAUUUGCUUGAAAAAGAGCAAAGCAAUUCCAACAUAAACUAACACUUUAGGAUCCUCCAAGCCUUUCUAUAGACCCGUAAGGUACUAAAAACGAAAAACUAGCACUACUAACACAGGCUGAAGAGGAUGACCUCGAAAAAGAAUACAAUUAAAGAUGUGGCCUUCCCUUCAAGCACAUAUAUGGAUAUGGAGCACUCUUUUCCACCCUAAAAAAGAAUAGCCAGAGAUGGCUUUCUUUCCGUAUCAAUAGGUAGCCUUCCUUGCCUAUGGCUACUUUCAAAUGAAAAGGUCAAAAAAGAACUUGAUGUAAUAGGAUCACUUCAUUAAUGCUUUCAAACUCGAUUGUAAACUAUUCCCACCUAAAAGAUAAGCUUACUACUUCAAAUAGGUAGAUGGAAAGAAAGCCAUAUUUUCCACCUUAUUUACAUAUUCCAUUCCAGCCAUGGACAGCAACUCACUCUUUUCGAACUGCACUUUGAAAGCCAAACCCAAGAAAGACCAUAUCAACUACUCUCCAAAUAGCAGGAUAAAUCACAGAAUUCAAAUGAAAGACAGAAAGAGAAGGCAAUUCAAACCUAAUGGCCAAAUGAAUCCAAGACAGAAAUACUUAUAGCCAGAAAAGAAUAACAAGAGAACGAAAACAACUCCAUAUUCUACUGGCCUUCCUCUCUGAUCUACUAUCCAACUGUCAUGGAAGCACCACUGUUCACCCUAGGCUCACAUUUUGGCACUUCAUUCACUGUGUACUCAAAGGACUUGCUUGUCUUUUAACUCGGGCAAAAACUGCAGGAGUGAAUUGACUCGUAAUUAUACAAACAAAUGACCCAGCUGGCCUUCUCCUAUCCGCGGAAUCAUCGGGACAUGCUUCACUUAAAGUGAUUAUACCACAUAGUUUAGGGAAGCGAAGCCAUAGUUCGGGUUAGUUCACGCUAGAUUAUCGAAGCUUGUAACACCUGUUAGAACACAUUAGGAAAGCGCAAAAGAUUUCUAUUUGGAGUUCUUUCAUUUAGUUGCUCGAUCACUGCCAUCCGCAUUGGGCUAAUUCAAAUCCUAUGCUCCAUGCUCUUGCGGGUUUGCUCCAUUUGAACUUGUCCACACUGGCAUAAACAGUAUCUCCCCGGAACUAAGAGGCAUGUAUGCCCAUCUUUAUCGAUUCAAAGAAAUGAAUAAGUAUCAGCGAGGCAGGGAAUACGGGCCCGGUAGAGAUAGGGAUGAUCGGCAAGCGCUACGAGCGGGGCCGAUGUUUCGUGUUGUGGGUGGCCAUCGGAUUGUUCAGCGUGCCCAUGCGGAUCCCUACCAAUGUCCUAGACUACAAGUUCAACAAACUUCCGGCUUGGGUCAGGAUACAAAGUUACCCAGGAUGGGCUUGCCCUCUGGAUCACGCCGGGUCCUUGCUUGUUCCAAUGUCAUGCUAGGAAUGUAUCACGUGCCCAUGCAAACCAAAGGAAAGCAGAUACAACUAUUACAGAUCCUAGUCCUAUUUCCCAUCAGAACAUAAGGGAGUGGGCUUCCUUUGUAACAGCUCUGUUCUGGUCGUGGCUCACCUCACUGGACCAACGCUUCUGGUCGGAAGUUGGUCGAUCGCCUAGUCGGCAACCGGCACAACACGUUUGCCAGUGGGAUUUCUGUUGGUUUUCGUACUAUGCGCAAUGAAAGUUUCCAAAAAAAGGAGAUCUCUAAGAACAGCGUUCUACGGGGAGAAUGUGAUUUUUGUAUACUUUGACCCCAUACUGGCAUGAAACUGAUCGGAAAAAGGACCUCAAAUUAGGGCAUUAAAUAAUCUCUCUCUUCCAUCCCUGGGGUUUAUAGGAAUAUUCAGGCUGCACAUGACGAGUUAGGAACUGUAUAUUAUAGUCCAACAAAUUACUUUCUCCGUACUGAUAAUAAAGUUUACUAAAUCAAAUGUAAUAUCUUUUUAUCUAGAGGAGUUAAAUCGUAUAAAAAUCAAUUAUAAAUAAUCUUUUUACUGUAAUAUUAUUUCAAAGUAGGGGAGACAUCUGAACAUAUUUUAUAUAAGUGUAUUGUCAGCUCUGGUUUUUAUUGAGUCUUGGUCUAGAGGUUUAUGUGCUUUCUAAGGUUCUGGAUACAACAUAUUGAUGCAUAUCCAAUUGAAACAAUCAGUACUAAAAUAUGAUAUGCUUCCAUCAGUGCCUCAAAACAUUUGCUAUUCUUAUCUCUAGAAGGGUGCUUAUAUUGUUGUAGUGUUUAUAGCGAAAGAGGACAAAAGUCCAGCCGGACACAGUAUAACUCUGGUAUCGCGUCGCGGGUGAAAAGGGCCUGAAUAUUUCCUACCAGCAAGCACCGCCACUAACUCACACGUCAUUCUUGCAUCUCGCUGACACUGGGCCCGAGAAACGGCAGAAAGCCAAAGGUGUGAACCUUGUAAUCUUUUCUAUACAGAAAAACAGACCCUCUUCGAAGCUGAACGUUGUGGGGCACUGCUGUCAGCAGAACAUUUCCUAGUGUGUAAGCGAAUUUUAAUGUGAUAAAAAGGCAGCGAAGUGUUCCAGCGGCCAGCCAUGACGUUCGCCCCACCGUCCAGACAGAUAAACCCCUCACCAAGCAGCGGAGCUCAGCAUUUCCACCACACCGACGCCUCCGGUAUCCCCCGCGGUUCCCUUUCCCGAGAAGCAGCUGAUCUUGGCCGUUAGAUCGACGUAUAAAUAGCCACGGGCACGCAAGGCCGGACCUCUAUUUCUUCACCUGCCUCCCCUCCCACCUGGGCAUGGCGACCUUCUCCAUGGAGGUGUUCGACAACGAGGUCGUCCCGUCCAUGCUCAGCAGCAUCGCGCCCAUCCUGCGCGUCGCCGCCGAGAUCGAGCCCGAGCGCCCCCGAGUCGCUUACCUCUGUACGUGCAUUCGUUUUCGCGGGGAUACGUAUGGUGCAUUUCACAUGCUGUUUUGAUGCGUUUGGGUUUGGAUUUUGUGGCAGAGCGAGCACUCCUGGUUCAUUUUUUUGGCGUCGGAUCAAUGCCGCGUAGGCUAUGUGUAGUUGGAAAAUUUUUGUGUUCCCAUGUUCAAAAAUGUUUGUUCUUAUAUUUUUUUGGGGGGCACAUGCGCGCCUCGAUUCGUGGUUUUCGAGGAUGUUUUGCUUUUGAUUCAUAAUCAUACGAGUCUAUCUAGAAAAACAGAUAGUGUGAUUUACUAGAGAACUUUUCUGGCUUUGCCAUUUUUCCUAGCUUUGGAGAGCUAAUUUUGGAGUAUGUUCGUAAGCGUCCGCAUUAGAUUUUUCUUUCGGCGAUCAUCCAUACGUAUUACUUGUUCAUUUCGGAGCACCUUUGUGUUUCACACUUGAGGGAGCAGAUUAGAUGUACUAGAUAGUGGUAUUUCCGAUACUUUCUUCGUUUUGUUGAAAUCAUGUUGCAAUCAGAUAGUUAUGGUCAAUUGGUUUGGCUAGAAUAGUUUCACGUAUCUCGAAUAGGGACUCGGGUAAUUGGUUUCUAGUUCCUACUACAUCCUGCAAAGUAAAUGGAAGUUUCUAGCGUUUUGCUCGCUUUAUUUUUCUUUUUUUUGCUGCAAACAUAGGUCGGUUUUACGCAUUCGAGAAGGUGCACCGGCUAGAUCAGAAUUCUAUUGGUCGCGGAGUCAGGCAGUUUAAGACUGCUCUGCUCCAACGACUUGAGAAGGUGAGACACAACUUAUUUCGUCUUCCUGAUGAUUAGGACAAAAUUGUAUCCCUUAGGAACCGUACAUGCACCUUUGUUUGGAUGCCGAUCUAAUAUUGUUACAAUACGAAAUACUUGAAGGCCACACGCAAUUGACUCACCUACAUUUUAUGCUCCCACCCUUUUGUAGAAAAAGCCUCUGCCUCUGGGGAAGUGCUCACAUCAACUCCAAUUUGGAUGGAGCUUCUCGAUGGGUUAGAGCGUUUGCGAACCAAAAAGGCGGAAAACCCAUCCUCCAAAGUAGUGAAGUGAGCCAGUACAAUAAGACAAUAUGUCUCAUGGGCCAAGCCUGCUAUCAGGCAGUGAGUGGGAAUCAAUCCUGAAAGAGAGAAGGUCUAGUGCUCUUAGAAAAUAUUUAAUUCGCCAAAAACUUGGCUUUAUCAGACCAAUCCAUGUUCAGAAGCCUUCCAUCAAAAGUCAGUGGUCUAGGCCGCUUUCCUUGACUUUGAGUUGGAUCUCAUUCUUCUUCCCGGCACAAAAAGAGGGUAGACUUCAUCCGAGACACAUGGGUUCUUUUGCUUCCUUCAAAGAACUCGUCUUUGAGCCUCUAAAAAGAAGGGCAUAGUAUCCCAACCACCUAGACCACCUAAAAGGAAGGAAUUGGUCUUUAGCUUUGAGUGAUCCAACCAUUGGUGAAUGGGUUCAGUAAGGUAGAAGGAAAGGGCCCCUCCCGACCUGGGAAAUUCACAGCAGGAAAGACUGGCGCCGAUCAGCGAAAGAGAACCCUUCAGUACAUCGUGUUCAGCCCUCCCUCAAAAUCCCAUUUGUUUUAUUGAGGAAUCACUCUUGAUCCUCUAAAGGAUCUUCUCUGUCUAUAACUCAAAGUCCAUAUGUCUCUCAUGGAAGCGCUUUAGAGUGCCUAGACGAUCCAGCAAACGGGGGUGCCAAUGUUGUCCCAAGAACAGAUCACGGUAGGUAGCUGCUUUAAAGAGGUUGGGAGACAGACUGGUGAACAAUCUUCUUCUUGUUUUCUCCGACCUAGAGCAUUCCUUUUUUCAAUCGUACGAAGAAACUCGGUGAAAAACCCAGCUAUCACUCCUAUGAGACUGCUAACUCCCAACUCCCGAUACAUUCUUUAGAUUCGACCAAAGGACUCGUUGGUUUGGACAUAGUUUCUUUGUUCCUGUGUUUCUGUUUUGCUCUCCCCCUUUUUUCACUUAGUUUAUUUGGAAUGGAAAGACAACUUCCUUCAGUUUUUAUUUUUUUGUUGUUGCCUGGUUCGGUCUCUCCGAGUGGAAUAAGUGGGUCCUUCUUCUUUUUCCUGACUGAUGAAGGUCGAAACUGAAGAUCGAAUCAAGCAGAGUCUGGAUUCCUAUGUUCGUACCAACUCAAAUGAUUGAUGAAUUGGAUCUUGAGUAUGCUCACUUCGCUACUCAGCAAGGGUGAAAGAAUGACAAAGAGACUGACAUCACAGAAGAAGGGAAGGACCCAAUCGCCUACCUAUUUCUUGGUCCUCCCCCCUGGUGGGUACUUUAUAGCUCACAACACGAGAUAGGCAGAUAUGUGACAUAGAAAAAUUGCUUUCAUUGACAACAAGACUCUCUUCCUGAUUGGGAUUGGUCUGUGUAGGAUCUCCUUCCCUAUGAGACUCUUGCUUUCCUUUGAAAGAGGCAGACCCCUACUUCAAUUGCCAUCUGACGCCUCUACCCGCCCUUGGUGUUCGUAGAUCGGUUUUGCCAGUUAGGGUUUGUGUGGUGGGUUUCGGUUAUCUCGGGUAGCUCCUCACUUGGAUGAGGAGUGGGGAAAUAAGAUUGCAGGAGAGAUCGAUGAAGAAGUGGAACUAAAGGAUACUAUAACCAAAGCUUAAAAUGGGGGGGAUGAGGCUGAUGUUGAGCCGGGUGAUGAAGCAACUUCACCGCAGCAAGAAGCCUAGUGAGCGGUUGACAUGGCGGAAGGUCGUUCUACCUUUCCAUGUGCCAACAAAGCAGGCAUACUUGAUUGACUCUUUGGGGCUCAUGAGAGACAUUCAUAUUACUGCGUUCUGUGAUCGUAGAUCAUCAGGAUUCAUCAUUGUAUAUCCGAGAUCUGAAAGUGUGGCAAAUGGAUUUGAAGGCAUGGAAAGAGGCCGCCCUCGUGCAAGGCUUCUUUAUUCUCCCGAUUUCCCUCCUCCAGUUGGAUUGACACGAAAGUCUAGUGAUAAUGUCGAAGUGCUUUACAGAGUCCCUUUCAGCCCCCGCUUUAUCAUAGGAAGAAGAAGAGUAAUCUAGUUUAGCGGUAAGUGCCCUUUUGUUGCCAAUAUCUAGAGUCCUGUUGUGUCGAUAGAGCUCGGAAACGUCCUCUUUUAGUGAUGGAUUCUAGUAGCCCUAUGCCUAGAUUGCACAAGAACUACUCCGCUUCUAUAUUGGAAAACACUUUGUUUGAGCUUCUAAAAAGAAAUGAAGCUGUUACCUGAUCCAAGCAGAUAAGAUGCUCACGGUCUGUCCUGAGCACUACAGAGAUAUUUCUUGAUCCACAUGAGAGUCAGCUCCCUACACCUACACCGGAUUAUGUCAAUGAGAGCUUGCCAAUAGAGAUACUUCUGACUUAGAGGCACCAGAGUUGGCCAACUGAAAUUGCAUUGACAGCGAACCCUUGGUAGAUGAUUCAGAGCAAGAUCAUAUUCUUGAUGAUUUUUCCCUUUGUUUGAUCGAGCGAUGCCGAAUCUUUAUAGCGCAUUUCCACCUAUCCAUGCUUUACGACUUGUCGCCAUGAAGCACAUGCCUGCGAAACCUUCUUAUUCUACAGAAUAAAUAAUAAAGUACUUAGAAUGAAUGGACUAAAGAUCCACUUUUCAAAAGGGACGGCUCCGCCUACAUGAGAAGAUCUUUCAAGCGAAAAUAAUGGGUAGCCAUGAGAAAUCUCGAUCGGCGACUCUGAUACCAUGAUAUCAUUGGUCGAAGAAUUCCUUGCCUCGCGGGACACGUAAAGAGACCUACCCACCACCCUUGUGCGUGCGAACCUAACAAGAUAUGUUGAUGCCAGCUACACCGCGCUUUCUUUCCGAUCGACCUGACAUUCAGAGGAGAAGAAGGAAUGGUUGUAUGCAUGCGCCGGACGCCUAUCAAAAAGUAAAAGAAACCAUGGAUGGGGAGAAAGAAAUCCCUACUUACUUGACAGGUUUCCGGGUCUCAGAAACAUAGAAAGGAUUUCACAAAUAGGAUAAAUGUCCAGUGAGGACAUCUCCUUGCUUGCUUUUUCAUUGACUGAUUCUAGUGGCUGGCCCAGUGAGAGAAUUACCAGUGUCUGUCAUUAGACUUUAUCUUUCCACGGUGAACUCCUUUGUUGUUGAAAAUCGGCUGGCUGGAUUGACCUUUGGGAUUGAGUCACUCUUUUCUGCCGAUCAUCCUCAACCUCAAGCACAAAACCACCUGUCGGAAAAAAAAAGAAUCUCAGUCAACACUUAGCAUGUGAUGCAGCCUUUAAGUAUCCAAAGUUCUGGAACUUAGAUGAUGCCCUUAAAUGGUAUAACAAACACCAGACUAAAAUGUUUACUUCGGACGAAAGUUUAAUUGAAUUUGCUGCGCAAGCUAGUGAUCCAUUUUUUUUCAUAGCCAAGAUCCUUUCUCAGGAUGAAGGAGUGAGUAAUUAUCAUCAGGUUCCAGUGACCCAAGAUGCGAGUGCGAGUGCAUGUGAAAUUAUGAGUUAUCUCUUGCUUAACUUAGAAAUGGGUAGGAGAAUGAAUCUUCUUCCAUAUUAAGACGGUCAAAUCCAAGAUGUGUACAUGUGCUUGCGGGAUGAUCUUAAUAAAUUGUUUUUUACCAGAUUGAAUAAUGUUAGUAGUAGUAAUUAGAAGAAAAAACUCAUAGAUUCUAUGUUAACCAGAAAGUUCGUCAAAGGAUUCUUUAUGCCAUCUCCACAAGGGUCCGUCCGGUUCUUCCUCAAAUGGGUUACCUCAAUAUUUAUCAAAGUUUUGGUAUCUAACUUAUCCAGCUACAGUAUAGUAUACUCCUUCCUUGCUCGAUAGAGCUCUUUGAAUCCGCUUCAACUAAAUGCGUAAAAUAGAGUAAUUUCUUCAAAAGCCAGUUUAUUUUGAGAAGGCAGGAGGCCCAUAGUGAGUUACAAUAGUGCCAGUUCUUGUACGGAAGGCCGUAAUUCCGGUAACCUCGACUGCUCUAAGAAUGAUCCGGGCUAGCCGGGCACAUCACAACAAAGUUAGGUCAUUUGUCAAAAACAUGGCAAAUAGCUCAGUUGGUUUGGUAAGGGAGCUAUUCUCUCACUUAAACCACUCCCAUAUUAGGUAUUCUAUCUCGUCUUAAAGUUCCCCCGCAUUACCCAUAACUUACCACCUGUAUCUCCGGAACUCAAAUCGCAAAAUGACAAUGCUUUUGAUAGUCUGUAGGAUAUUUUGCACUUUCAUAUUCUAGUUCCUCAUUUGAGCGUUCUUUUGCUCUGUUGGUGGGGCAUAAACUCAGAAAUAGUUUUUGUUUUUUCUUUAAAUAAUAGAAGUACUUUGUGUAGAAACCAUUUUGAUCAUCCCCGCUGUUUGACUUAUCAGGAGGCCCGAACAAAAGGCUCUUUAAGGAACUAGUCCCAUCACUCUCAGGCCCGACACCAACCAAGAGGAGGCGGGGCUCUCUCCAAUCAUUCCGAAGAGCCAAGAUCUCGUAAAGUAAAAAUUAGCUAGCUCAGCAGGUUUGGACCCGGGUGAAUCAGUUCAGUGAAGGAAGGGAGCCUAAACUUAAGGCUUUUCCAAGCCUUGCCGAUAGGCGCCUCAUGGCUUGCUCAAUUCGCUCGCGGAGUUCUUAGAUCAGCAGAUCUGGAUAGAGUCUCGCUAUUAAAGGAAGAGUAGCGUGCUAGCGCGGCUCGCUUCGCUUUUUGACGCGAAUGGCUCGUGUUGCGCUAGUGACACGAGGGUAAAACGCUCGAGUUGGCUUGCUGACUCGAGGAGGGAAAGGCUCCAUUUGCUUUAGUGAAUCAAGGAAGAAACAACCAUAGUAACUAUCUAUGAAAUUGAUUGAUGGAUAUGAGAGUGGUGCAAGACACGAAGGUAAGCACAUUCUAUUUUUCUUAAUUGACAAAGCAAAGGGAGUUAUCAACCCUUUUUUCCGAAACCCUAUAACGGCUAGUUCCCAAUGCUCGGCUUCCUACCUCCUCUAACAAAAUCAAAGGUAAUAUCCUCUGUUUUCCAAGAAGAUAAGUUCUACACAAAGGAUGUGAACGGAACAGUUUUGGCAAAGGCAAAGCCCGGGAUAAAGGCGGUAUCCUAUGAAGAACAUCUUCGACAUCUCAGAAUCAUAUUCGACCACCUAAGGCAACAUGCACUCAAGUUAAACCCAUUGAAGUGCGCCUUCAUGGUUUCGUCAGGCAAAUUCCUAGGGUUUGUCAUUCGACAGUCCCAUCGACGAAGACUACUUACUAUACGCGUUUUUGAGUUGCAUUUAGUGCUCUUUUUUCUCGCUAGCUAAAUCAAUCAAUUUGACAAGAUCUUGCAUCAAUCACCUUGUCCGCUAGGGAAAUGCACUCCUGAAUAGACUCGAUUCCCCGCCCCGCAUCAGUGAAAUGUCUAAGACGCAAGGUCGGCUCAAGAAAUGGAAGUUGUGAGAUGGAAAGAAAACCACGAAAAAAGAACUGAAUUAGGGAUCAAUCCAUACGCGGCUUGCCUUCUCCCCUUCCCCAUAGUAAGCCAGCCAAUAGAAUAGUACCCUAACUUAAGAAGUUCUCUUAGCUAGCGCAUGUCCAUUAAUGUGACCACCGCAUGCUCCUGCAUGAGUUUCAUGAAUGGUUUGUUUUUGAAUCCUAUCUCUCUGGGGAAAGGUAUCUUUUUUCAAUUCGAACAACAGAUGCAGCUUCAAGAGAGCUUUAUUCGGCCUUUGUAUGACCGUAUUCCCUUCCUGUCUAUCUCCUUCGGUCAGGUAGUUCUGCUUCCGAUGCCGGAGGAGCAGGGUGGGAUAGAAGGGUAGUUUCUGAGUUUGAGAUGUCUGAGCUUGGAGGUUCCGCUUCUCUAAUGUGAUAAUAAAGCAACAAGCAACGCCGCUCCCGUGCGCUCAUCCCUUGCUUGUUUCCUUUCCUGUUGUAAAGUCUGCACCCUUAGAGGUGGCAUCCCUUUACGCAUGAGCCUUGUUAGUGCAUGUCUCAGUCCCUUGAGACAUGCUCAGUCCUAUGUUAGGAAACCAAACGGUGUAAUUAGCUUCCCCCUCUAUUCCCGGCCAUCGUAUGGACGAGGGCUCCUCUCCCUCUGCUCUGCUUCCCGGAAAGGUAUAUAUAUACUUAAAUUAGGAAUUGAAAAUGCUUGGGCUUGCCUUAUUCUCUCAUUUAAGUCCUUCAAUUCCCUUAUCUGGAAUGGACAGGGAUGUUGUUGAAGGGAAGGAACGGAGGUAGAUCGUUCCUCAGAACGUAGGAGAACAUGACCCACGAAUCAGCUCUAGUCCGGAAAGCCAGGGCUCUGAGCUCUUAUCCCUUCAUGGGUAAGAGCGAAAGCAAUAGCCACCAAUCUGGCGAAGAGGUUUCGCCGCGCUGAGCUCGGUGAACCGGAUUCUCCCGACCCCGAUGCGCCUUUGGAAGAGUAGGAGGCUCAUUCCACGGGAUCCCCUGAAAGCACAAAAGCAAAUGAUGGGGCGAACGAGGCAGGCCCGUCUUCUUCGCGGAAGCGUAAAAGGUGGGAUGAUGAUUCGGGGUCCGAAGAUGAUGAUUCGGGGGGCCCCUAGGAAUCUCCAGAUCUAGUGGAAAUCGUUUACGAAGGGGAUGCACAAGGGUACAACUAGGAGGGGACCUGCGACCGCCUUCUUGUCGCCUGCCUUUUUCUCUCCCCUCUUAGUGAACCCACUUUCUUUAGUAAAGCGGUUUUGCAUCCGUUCACUUCUUGACUUUCCAUGGGUUUCUUAGAGAGCAGGUGGUUCUCGGUUCCCCACAUUUUUCUACCCCUUCUGUUCUGAGACGUGACUUUUCGUCGUCCCUCCUUUAAAUAAGAUCCCUCACUUAUAGCUCGACGGGACCGCAUGUGGACGGGGCAUUCAAAUUCUUUUUAUAGUGGGAUCGUAACAUCCUCUUAGUUUUGUCGACAUUGGACAAACACGUGUUCCUCAACCCUAGGUAGG